rnacentral:lncRNA from 7 species
UUGAUUGAGCAGGGAUUGGGGGAGAUAGCCUCCAGAAGUCCCUUCCAAUCUCAACCAUUCUAUGGUUCUGUGAAUUUUGGACAUUUUUCUCUAUCCACAAAGCAAGGGAAAGAUGAUCUCUAGCAAGGAAGACAAAUGGGCUAAAAAGGUGCAGAUAUAACUUGUGACAAGGAAUUUGCAAAAAUGUAGAAAUCAGAGUGAAAACUUUGGUUUUCCCAGGAGGCAAGAUCCUGAACUCUUGCACCUUGCCUUUUGAAUGACCCUCACCUCAGCGAUCCUCCUCUUUCCAAAAUGACCUCACACUCGUUGUCUGGUCACCUUCUGUCGAACCAAAGUGAGAAAAUAAGAUGGCAUUAGAUCUAUUAACACAUUUGCUCAAGUGAAAUAGAGAGAUAAGGAGUCAAGGCCUUGUCAUAUUCUGUGCUGAGCUGAUGCAACAGGCUCUGCUGGGGCCCUGAGAUAAAAGAGCAUUGAGAUGGCUAGAUGAUCACUUGGCCCUGGAAAUUUGACGUAUGAAGAGAACACUAGGUCACUGCACUCUGUCAGCUGAUGGCCAUUCCUUGUUGGAGGUUGCUUCUCGUGAAGAACUGACCUGUCAUGGAAAAGAGGUCAGUGUUGGAAGGGAAUGGAUAGGCAAAGAAGACAAAUAAUUGUCAAGGAAGAAUAAGACUCACAGGGAAAUGCAACCUUUCUGAGGACGUGGAGAUUAUAUCACAUUUGGUCAAGUUUGAGGUGUUUUUUAUUCCAUGAAGUUUGAAAGGGCAGGAUGUCCGGAACAGAGCUGUCUGAUUCAAUGUCAUGCCUCAAGCUGGCUUUACUGAGAGUUGAAGCUAUAUAUACCAUGCUCUCUGUUUUCUGUCUGCGCCGUGUUUUAUCUCCCUUGUGCGUGGCAUUGCAGAGGAAGGCAGGUGGUCUCCUAUUCGGCAACAUCUUCAGGGCAUGACUGCCGAAAUUUCGCAGAAACACUCCACUAGAGGGCAUCUGCACAUCCUCACAUCUGUAACGUAAACCUGUUCAUAAUUGUCAAGAAGUCGGUGAAGCAUUUACAGUCAAAAUUAUAAAGUGCUGGAACUUAGGGCCACCUGCUUAUGAGUUUUUAUUAUUUUUAAUUAACACACCACUCUGCUCUGUAUCCAGAACAUAUGAGUUCAGUGAGAUACUUUAGUCAGCAAAACUUUCAGAUGGUGACCUUCAAAGGUGACCAACUUAUAAAGUCUGAGAAAAUUUGUAUUACCUGAAAAAAAUAUGUGCUGGCUUAUUUUCACAGUGGAGUAAACUAAUCGUUAUUUUUAAGCAAACGCUGCUCACAAACAUCCAAAUUCACAACCUUUCCUAUGUGAGAUGGUUACUCCAUAGCAAUUGCAUAUCUGGUUUAUUUUUAUUCCUCCUGACUUAGAUUACAUUGUGAAGACUGAGCCCUCCACAAUUGCCAAGAGAGCGUCAAACUGGCUAACAGUACAAAUGCAUCUUAGUUCAUCUGUGCAGUUGUUGUAGCAGAACUUUAAAACGCAAUUACAUGUACCUCUAUAGGAGUGAAUGAGUAUAAAUACUUUGAAGUCAGACCUUGCAAUAACGGACAGGAUUAAAUAAGAAAGAUGCAAGGAAAAAUAUGCUGUCAAGCCAACAAAUCAUUCUGCAGCUCUUCAGAAAAUUUAAAACUGCAUUCAAUAGCAGUAAUAUUAGAAAUGCUACAUGUUUUUGAAGCAGCACUGUAAAUGUAUUGUUGAAGAACUGUUAAGUAAUGUGUUUACUUAGAAGAAUAUCCACUGGUUGAUACUGCUCUUGUAAUUAGAAGUAAGGAUGUACUUACAGAAUCUUUCUGAGUCAGUCCGAUGGUCAAGAACAUUUUCUUUAAUGUAUUGAAAAGACUUCAGUAU